rnacentral:rRNA from 1 species
CCUACGGGUGGCAGCAGUGAGGAAUAUUGGUCAAUGGGCGAGAGCCUGAACCAGCCAAGUCGCGUGAAGGAUGACGGCCCUACGGGUUGUAAACUUCUUUUGUCAGGGAGCAAUUGGGUCCACGCGUGGGCUUAGCCAGAGUACCUGAAGAAAAAGCAUCGGCUAACUCCGUGCCAGCAGCCGCGGUAAUACGGAGGAUGGGAGCUUUAUCCGGAUUUAUUGGGUUAAAGGGGUGCGUAGGCGGAAUAUCAAGUCAGCGGGAAAAAUUCGGGGCCCAACCCCGACGUGCCGUUGAAACUGAUGUUCUUGAGUGGGCGAGAGGUAUGCGGAAUGCGUGGUGUAGCGGUGAAAUGCAUAGAUAUCACGCAGAACUCCGAUUGCGAAGGCAGCAUACCGGCGCCCAACUGACGCUGAAGCACGAAAGCGUGGGUAUCGAACAGGAUUAGAUACCCUUGUAGUC